CCUCCAUUAUAACUUCAAACACCCAGGUCCCAGACUAUGAGAUAAGUAGAUAGAUCAGAGUAACCGGAUGAUUUCAAGUACUAAAAGGAGAUGAUCAAUUCACUCUCUGUAAAGGAUAUGGAAGGUGUUGGAAGAAAAGUUAGUAAUGGAUCCAAGUUGUUUCUAAAGUCAGUAAUAAUCAUCAGUAUGAGCGGAAUCGGAAAAGUUGACAAUCUGGUUGGAAUGGUCCAAGAAGUCCUGAACCAGAGAUUGGAUCCAGGGGUUACACUAUUCAGAAGGCUGUAUCCAGCUAUGAAAUAUAAUCCGGAUUCUCUCAUGAAUUAGCUGCAGAUUUAUACCCUCUCUUUCAUCUUUUCAAAUCAAUCACGGUCAUGUUUCCAUCCUAAGAAGCCAGAGAGCAAGUUGAUUGAGAGGUUCGCAGACAAGAUCAUCAUUGCACCCAUUUGGAUAAGCAAGAUUAGAAGAAUGGGACGAAAUUCAGGACUUUUUCCUACUAGAUGAACGUUAUAAAAAAAGCUAAAUGGAAAAGAUAUCAUUGUACACCCCCGGAUACAAUUGAAAUGCGUCUUGCAGAUAAACCCAAUGUGUGCUGUUCAACAGGGAGAGGAAUACCCUAUGACAUUUUGGGCAAAUGAAGAGCAUCAGUAUCAAGAGCAGAGGCCAUAAAAAAUCCGCAUGCACUAUUUUCAUCUGAAGCGGGAAAGAUGCAUGAUGCAUCGUAAGCAAAGCAUCAUAGAGGGAGGCACACCAUAUGCACAGAAGAAGAAACAUGUGUUAAAGUUUAACAGAAAUGUGCACGUUACGUUAGCAUCAUUGGAUUAGGCGUCUACAACUAUGACAACAACAACUACUACUACUACAACUACGUUAAUUCCCUUAUUAGAUUUAAACACCACUUUCAAUUAAUUGAUGCUGUAUGAUGCAAAUGUCCCAUGUUGUAAUGCUCAUUCAGAAUCACUACCACCAUUGAAUGAAUAUCCCUACUGUCCACAGCUUGUUAAUAGAAAGUAUCCCUGCUG